rnacentral:rRNA from 1 species
AUGAACGCUGGCGGCGUGCCUAAUACAUUCAAGUCGAGCGAACAGACGAGGAGCUUUCUCCUCUGACGUUAGCGGCGUACGGGUGAUUAACCCUUGGUUACCCUACCUUUAAGUCUGGGUUAACUUCGGGAAACCGUAUCUAAUCCCGGAUAAUUUAUUUAACCCCAUUGUUCAAUAGUGAAAUUCGGUUUUUCUUUCACUUAUUGAUGGAUCCACGCCGCAUUUGCUAGUUGGUAAGUUAACGGCGUACCAAGGCAACGAUUCGUAGACGACAUGAGAGGGUGAGAGGCAACACUGGAAGGGAGACACGGAACAGAGGCCUACGGGAGGCAGCAGUAGGGAAUAUGCCGCAAAGGGCGAAAGAAUGACGGAGCAAAGCCGCGUGAGAGAUGAAGGACUAAGGAUCGGAAAACACUGUUAUUAGGGAAGAAAAAAAGUGUAAGUAAAAAUGCACGUAAUGACGGUAACUAAUCAGAAAGCCACGGCUAACUACGUG